GGGGAGGAGGGCAGGUGGUUAUACAGUGGAUGCAGCAGGGGUCUGUGCUCUUGUUGGCUUUCCUGAAGCUCCAACAGAUGCUUCAUCAUGUCCGUUUGCUCCCCGAUUAGUCUCAGCAUGGCGUCCUGACUCCGCUCUUCGCACUCACUUAAUUCUUUCCUGGCCUCUGCCACUGAAUGCCUCCAUGCAUUAAGCUGUGCCCUAUCCAUGCAGGAGGACUGCAUGAGCUCGGAAAACAUGUCAUUGCGAGUGUGUUUUUUUCACCUUCCAAUCAGCUAUAACCUCAGGGACGGAGAUGAAAGGGGGAG